rnacentral:misc_RNA from 1 species
GAUCCUCUCGCCUAGGUGCCACAAGAAUGGCUGACUUGCUGUUCUGAUUUGGCUUCUUUGUGCUGCCCUUUUUCUUUUGAGCAACUCGUUUGGUAGCACAUGAGCCAUGCUCAUUCAAAGAUGCUGACCCAGCUCUUGAUGAACCCUGGUUUCCACCCUUGGCAGCUCGUUUCUGGCGAACAAAUUCCAUCAGGGGUGUAGUAAUAGGCAUUUCUUUUGCAGCAGAAGGUUCUGCCUCUUUUCUUUCCAAAUGAGUUUCGGAACUAGGAGGAUUCUCCACUGGCUUUGCAAUAAGUUUGAGGAAUUCCAGAUAAUCAGAAUCUUCAUAAAUGCUCCCUUCACGACUAUUUUUUACAGUAGAAGGCUUAGGAACUCGUUGAGAAGGAGCGUAUUCAACUGUGGCCUUGAACCGAGCACCCUUCUCGUUAACAAAUAUGUGGCCAUGGAAGAACUCAGCAAACUCUAGAACAUCUCCUGGGCUUUUGAAAUUUACGUAGGCUAGAGAAUAUCUCUGAUGCUUCUUACU